UAAGCAGGUUAGUAUAUCAAUACCGCUGACUUAGGAUCAGCAAAUAAGUAAUCACUUACCUGCC
rnacentral:tRNA from 1 species